AGUUAGUGAUGAUAAUUUUUGCUUUUAUCUUUUACAAUAUAAUUCUUUUCUGUCAUCGAUAAUCCCGUUAAAAAGGAAAACGUAUUUUGACCCACAGAAAGAGCAGACUCCGACAAAUCUAUAUUUUUAUUUGACUGAUAAACAAAGUGUUUUGGAGGGAUUUUAUUUUUUGUGUGUGCAUGCACCAGCUUUGUAAUCUAUUUUGGAUAAUAAGUCACCGUAGAUCCACCAAGUAUGUAAAUCUAAAGUGAAAGUGCUUGUUUUGGUGAGUCCAACAAGGUAAAUUCAUUCCACUAGUCUGCAUCAGCGAAAGCUAAAAAUAUGUUAAUGUGAUCUUUCUGGUGGAUUCACCAACUUUCUUGUCUUGUAUAGAAGCAAAAAUUUUCAUCUUUUUUGGUUGCCAAACCUGCUGUAUUUAACACAGCGAUUUAUUAACAGCUUUUAAUCUUUUAAAAAUUCUUGGUGAGUCCACCAAUUUGGAGCUCUAGUUUCAUUUCACAUUUCGCACAAUUUUAUAUUGGUGGAUCCACCAAGUAUUGAAAUAGCGACAGCAUUUACAAUUUGGACAAGUUCAAAAAUUUGUUCAGUGUAGUGUUUAUAUAUUGACAUAUUAUUGACAUAUUAGAAAUUUUUACCUCUUUGACUAUUGGUGGAAUCACCAAACAAUUUUGCAAAAUGCUUUGUUGGUGGGUUCACCAAUUCUUUGAAUGAAAUACAAAACUGUAUACAGACAAAUUCACAAUUGAUUUUUGGUGGAACCACCAGGGGCCUGUGUGAAUGAGAUAUUUUAUGCUUUUCAAAAUAAAAGAAUGGCCAAUAUCUUAUUAUUGGUGGACCCACCAAGUUUAUUUGAAAGUGAGAUAGUCGAUGAAUAAAAUUGGUGAAAUCACCAGGGUCCUGUGUAUUUGAUAUAUUUGAUGCUGUUUUAAAUAACAGAAUCGCCAUUAUCUUAUUAUUGGUGGACCCACCAAGUUUUUUCGUAAGUGAAACAAUCGAUGAAUGAAAUUGGUGGAAUCACCAAUAUUAUGACUGUCAUUGUGGAAUAUGAAGGUUUAAAGAUACUGUAAAAUGUGCUUUUGUGUAAAAAAGAUGGUGGGUUCACCAAUUUAUGUUGUGUUCAACGACCAAAAUGAAUAAAAUUCAUGUUCAUUUC
rnacentral:sRNA from 1 species